UUUCGGCUGAUCGCACGGUCCAGCACCGGCGACGCAUCUUUCAAAUGUCUGCCUUAUCAACUGUCGAUGGUAGGUUCUGCGCCUACCAUGGUCGUAACGGGUAACGGGGAAUCAGGGUUCGAUUCCGGAGAGGGAGCCUGAGAAACGGCUACCACAUCCAAGGAAGGCAGCAGGCGCGCAAAUUACCCACUCCCGGCACGGGGAGGUAGUGACGAAAAAUAACGAUACGGGACUCAUCCGAGGCCCCGUAAUCGGAAUGAGUAC
rnacentral:rRNA from 1 species